AUAUUUUCAUAGUAACACAAUCAGAGUUCCUUCGGGAAGGACAAAUGUUUGGACCAACUGUCUUUUCUUUGUACUUCUACAUCAAAGAACAUCCUUUAACCAGUUAUAUGUUGAUUGGGGGGUCUUGCAUCCCCCUGACAGAAACCUGUCGGGGGUUUACAACCGGUCCUGGUCUUCAAAGAGGACUGUUUGGCAUUAUCGUAACAAAGGACCCCUGGGGGUAAGAUUGACCAGGCUGAGAGACGACAGCAGACGAGUAGUGGUAUUUCACACACCCAAAGAGACACCAGCUGGCAGGUACGAUUCCAAAUAUGGUCAUGAGGAGCAGCAUCUUUCCGGAUGCAACGAGGGAGGGGGCUAAGUCCACGCCCAGAGAAUUAGAACCUUGAUAAACUGAGAUCCCAGGGUUUUCGGGGGCUUUUUCGUCGUUCUGACAAUGCAGCAGCUGCUAUGACACUAAGGCCUGUUCAAUAAAUCGAAUUAGCCCAAAUGCCAAGUGUCUCGAAAUCUUCAUUCACCCCAUGCCAGACGGAAGUCGGAGUCCUCCCGGGAGACCACCGACUCGGAAGCACAGGUGCACGAAAAUUAACCACAAAAUGGCGUUGUCGGCAGGAUUUCUUUGCGGCGCGGCCGGGAGUCAGCGACGCGGGGCCGCUUCAGAUUUCAGGCCGGCUAAAAAGGUGAGUCUUUUCUCACUGUUUGAAUCUGGCGGCCGUGCGCCGCUGACGCUAGUGGCUUGUGUGCUGUAUUGAAAUCGACUAGUGGGCACGUUCCUGUGCUUCCGUGUCAGAGGGGGUGGUUUGAAGUUUCGUCUAAAUUUCGUGUUGUUUUUACUGGUAUUUUGGACCCGCGGAGGGGAAGGCCCUUCAAGAGUGAAUGAGUUCGACACACAAAUGUCAAAAGAAGUUUUAAAGUGUUAACAGUAGAAUGCUCGAUUUGGGACGUGCGCUUAGUUUCAGAACGGAUGCGUUCAUGCGGAGCUCGGAUGCUAGCAUGAUGUCAGUCCGGCCGUUAAAUUAGCAAGGCACGUCACCAGAUGAGUAACAUAGCCCAUAGUCGUUAAGUACCGAUUGAACACAACCUGGCCAGGUUACUAUUUAGCAGAAUGAGUGUGGAAGCGUAGUCUGAGAGAAGUGACGUCGGCGGUCCAUGUGAGGCCGCCAAAGCUAGCAGACGCGGCUAUUGGGAUAAGUUAUCACACGACGCUCUCGGUGGGAAGAUGAGGGAUCACAUCCACAUAAGGCGGGGCCGAGGUGGGGUGAAGCCUGUGUAAUGAAAUUCGAAGGUUCGACUCCUGGUCGGGUUUGUUAUGCUAAUCUGAGGCCGGGCGUCAUCAAGUGUGAGCAAAUUAAGUAACAGACGAGGUGAGCUCUAUUUGGGAACGAAAGAGACUCAUAGUAGGUCGGGAAAAAGACCCGUGGACUAAGUGUGUGUGAUACGAAUACUCUGUGUGAUACGACUUAUUAAUUGUGUACACAAUAUGAAGAAAAACCCUAGAACUAUAAUAAAUAUAAUUAUAAAAAAAAUAUCUAUCUAAACAGUUAUAAAGCGCUCUAAACAGGUACCCAUUAUCGUUACAAAAAAUACAGGUAAGGUAUGAUAAAUUAAUAUAGAUAUAUAUAUAUAUACAACUCGGAUGCCGGGCGGCCGUGAACACGGCGGGUUUGCGUCAUGUUGGUCUAUUUUUGGGUCAACGUAACUGGCCAGUGUUCCAGCGAAUCAGACGAGACACGACCCCGGAUGUUUUGUUGGGGGAUGGAUACGGCGGCGGUUGAAUUGGUGAGGCCACGCAUGUGUUACGGAGCCGUUAAAACCUGAGCGAAGAGGAAUUCUGUGAAUCGAGACGAUUCUGGCCCACUUCGGCCUGCACGCGGAGUUUGAAUGCAUGGCGUAAAAGGUGCUGGUUGAAUAAGAGCGUAUGAGCAGGAGGUGAAACGUAAGAAGUGGAUGAGAAUGUAUUUUAGUGUGUUACCAGUGAAUCAUGAGGUGUGUAUGGGCGGGAUGUUAUUGUGUGUGCAGCCAAAUGUGUUCAACGGAGGUAGGGAUGUGACCGGACAUAGGAGUCUUUGUAAAAACGAUAGUUAGGGGUGAUAUAAUUACUUUAAUGUAGUGCCGAAGAGAUAGACAGUAAAACGCAGCGAAGUUUAAUAUACUCGCGAGAUGACAAGGGUGUUGUAAGGCGGAAAAGGGCUUUGCGGGGCGCUCGGUUGAGUAAAUUCAGAGAGGAUUGGUAAUGGAUGCUGAAGGAAAAUAUGUUGUUAAGAAAAUAGAAGAGAAUGAAAAAUUUAGUAGAAAAAUGUAUGAGAUUUGUCUGGUGUGCCCUGCCAUGGCAGCUGUUCAGCGAAGAAAAAAUAAGAGCGACAAAUUCCCCCGCUAAAUACAAUUUACGGACCUUUCCGAAAACGGCCCCAGUGACGUCACUAUAACCGGCAUUGCCGGUCAAGGGGCGUCUCAAAUGGCAGACCAUUUGUAGAGGGGAAAUAAAACUCCUAUCAAUUCCGCACGAGCCCGCAUUCAAAAAGGUGGGUAAAUGUACAAAAAUUGUCUUUCAAAAUUUUUUAGUUUUUACAGAAACGGCUGCCCGGACUGGCUGCUGUUGGUGUAAUUUGGAUCCAGGGGCUGAAAAAGUUGAUGGACAACAUGAGCCUGGCGUGUGGUGACAUAGUCAGAUUGAUACGCGCCUGUUGCAUUUCGGUUCACCAAUCGGAUGAUAUGUUGCCACGGUCAGGUCUGAAUAAUGUCGAACCUGAAAAUUUAUUUGCCCCUUUUGCUCCUAUAGUAUUUGCUGUGUGACAUGUUCCCGUCCUCUUCCCCAACGGUGCCGAAGCUUCCGGACUUCAAACCUCUCAUGGAUCCCAGUUCUCACUUCGAACAUUGCAUAAGUAUUUGGACAGAUAAGACAGGAUCACAUCCCUCCCGUUUAAGAGAGGCAAAUGUUAUUUAUAGAAUAGCUGUACUUGAGACCUUGCCGGUUGAAGUUAGGACUGAACUUUUUAAAGACCCUGACCUCAUGAAAGGGGGAGAUAGCUUUUUUAAUUGUCAUAGGUCACACCAUUUGAAACUUUUUGUCGACAGAAAACACAAAUCAUCAGAUGAGGUAAAGGACAUGCAGGAACAACUUUUGAAGCUACCAUUGGCCCAGGCCCGUAAAGUGGCCAUUAAAAAAAAUAAUAAAAUAAAUAAAUAAAUAAAUAAAAAUGGAAGCAGAAAAACAGAUGUGGAUGCCGCAGGGGUCAACGAGGAGACGAGGCGGGAUUCGUGACAGAGGACACCAACGGAGGCAGGGGAAGCCCUUGCCGACCUCCAACGGACCAAGCGUGCUUCAAUUGUGGUCAGUAUGGACACUGGGAUUGCCAAUGUACUGUUUACCCAAUGAUUCAACAAUGACCUCCAGUGGAACCCGGAGAGGCCACACCUCAAAGAGGAGGCUACAAAGCUUCACGAGGGAGAGGUGGCCGCGUCCCGGCAACAGCAUCCGCAGCAGGCUCCACAGCAACGAGCCAUCUCGCCAGUACUACUGUGAUGAGGCCUGGUCCGAAUGCCCAAUGAGCCCGGAGCCAGGGGACGGAGGAAAGACAGAGCCUCUGAACCCCACUAAGGGAAGACAACCACCUGAAUGAGCUGUGCAGGGGUGCCCAUGAGUGUGCCGAUUACGAUACCAUUAAAGACUGAAAUUGCUGGACAGACGCAUGAACAUCAGUUUGUCCUCAUGAAAAGAGGGGCUCCAGUGAACCUGAUGGGCAGAGAUCUGCUUAUCAAGACCAGGGCUACCAUCCUUUGUAGCCCAGAUGGACUGACGAUACGGGUCCCCGAUGGGACCAUGAUGAACUGUGGAAGAAGUUAUCCUCCAGAUGGAACAUGAUACAACAUGAACUUCCGGAAGCAACUGCUGACAUAUAUUGGGCCCGACUAAAACCUGAAACAAAGGAGGGAGGCGGAGUUUACUCGGCCUUCCUGCGGUGGAAGGCCUGGAUCGACUCUCUUGCCCCCUAUCGUCCUCCAAUUGAUCCUCUCCAUCUCACACUGUUUUAUGAUAAAAAUGACGAUUUGGUUUACAGAGAAGCUUUUGAGCCAAUACAGGGGGAAAAUGGGAUGCUCAAUAAGUAAAAGUAUUUACAUAGGGAAGCAAGGUGUGGCAGCGGCCGCCACCUUGACGCCAGAGCAGAGUGAGUGGUUUAUGAUGAGUUUGACAUCUUUUCCACACUUUUUCACUUGCACUAGGUCAUAAAGCUUGAGAACUGGGACCCAUGGUGAGAAAAUGCCAAUUGGCAAAUGAUUGGCAACAAGAUCAAAUACCCAAUGUGUUGUACUCUUCCAGUACUGAAUGUUUUUGUAUUCAAGGUACCAUGGUGGACGGAGGGGUGUUGGAGCAUGUGACUUUAGCACGAUUCCAUGGCGGAGAACUCUCGGACCAUGAGGACGCCGCACAGCUGUUGAGCUCGCUGCCGGACUCAUUGUGGUCCGAGGGUCCUGCAGACGGGGGUCUAUGUACAUCCGUGACUCCGGUAACAUUCGAGGUAAACCCGACUGCUUUUGUUAACGUGCCGUAGUAUCCUUGUAAACAAGAGGCCAUAGAAGAUAUCGCGGAAACCCAAAUUCUGAAAUCCCAAUGCUUUGGUCCAUAAAUGAUGUUAUGAAACCCUCCGCUCAAGCUGCAGAACCGCUGGCCAUUUGCAGGGCACUGGAGAUAUCUGAAAGUCAAGAGUGUUACUCCUUAUUAAUGGUGCUGAUGCUGCAGCAGAAAAAAGUAGCAGGCUAAUAAAUGGAUAGAUGCUUAGAGAGCACUUGAGGUGAGAGAUGAUUGUGAGAAGCACAUUAACGCAUACGAUGGCUUUAAACUUGUUUAUGCCUAGAAGAGGAGUAAUGAAAAAUGUGUUAACUUGUGUGUCAGAGGGAAUUAUUUUGGCUUAUUUACGGAAUGGCACACAAGGAAGUGGUAGGAUGGUUGUAAUUGUGAAUAUACCGGGAGGCUGUGAUUUUUGUAAGUGGAUAUACAUAGAAGUUCCUGUUUGGGCAAACCAAAUUAAGAAAAUUAUGCGAGGUACACCAGUCUACUAAAGACAUCCGUACAAUAUUUAGUUGAUACAGUAUAGUAACUAUUAAUACAGCAUAGCGAAUGCAACUCUUUUCAUUCACAGAAGUGAAGGAUGGGCCAGAGGUAUAAGGUUGUGUUGCUACUUAUGGUACAUACGAUAUGAGACUGUGCCUCAUUUGCAUUGUGUGCCAGGGAAAUUAUGAGGAGUACAUUUCUUUGAGAAUGACUAUGUUAUUUGGUAUGAAGAUUAAUCUGUUUGAUUGUCUCCCCAGAUUCAGCACUAGAGCAGGGAAGACAAAGAGGAUUUUUCCAUCUUUCUGGCAAGCCAAUUUUGAGGAGGGUUAUGUAGUUGCAUUCUGUCUUCUAAAUCAGGUCGAUUACAACACUUUGUGGACAAGCGGAGAGCUGCUUUUUGAGCUAAAGGGACAAAUUUAUCAGGGAUAGUAUUCUUAGAUUGCUAAAAAUAAGAUAACAUUGUUGCCUCAGUUAUUGGUGACUGGUUCCUUACAGCGGUUGGGGAGGCUUGGUCAAGGCAUUGAUCAUGUGAGACAUAAAGUAAUAAUACACAAAAGGGGUAAUCGGGAAGCACCAUAUAUAGAUUAAUAAAUACAAGUUAAGGUUGAUUGCUGGGAAGUUCUGCGAGGCCCUGCACCCUAAAAUAGCCGGGAACUUGCACUAAAAUGUUAAAUGACCGGACAUCGGCAUCCCAGCUAGGGGGCCCGUUUUACAACUGGUGCGUGGGCGAAGUUUACGAUAGGCAGGGCUUACGUCUGAGGAUAAGAGACAGAGGUCAGGAGGGUUGCAACUCAGAGACAACUGUGAAUAGGAAGAAAAGAACAAAGGGUAGUUAGACUUAAAAAUCUUCCACUGACUUAAUUGAACAAGCUAGAAAGUAAGCGGAUAUAAACCAAAUUUAGAAGCUAUGACAGAAAACGCCGUUUACUGAACAGGUGACUAUGGGAGGCUCGGUCGUGCUAGCGUGACCUUAUUGACAAGUGAGAACCCAGUGUGUCCCCUCUCAUAUGCUGUUAGAGCCGCGGGUCGGUCGCCGGUUUCGGCUGUUCAGUUUAUCCACAAUAACAAAGACAUAAGCAAUGCCGUGAAGCAAGCAAGGGGGGCGCCACUGUUAUUAUUUGUCACGAGAGACUGAGAAAGACUCUUCAACCUGACGAUUGCAUCUAUAUGAAGGAUGUUUCUCAUGACAGAAAGAGAGCCAAGGAAAGGACUUUGUGGUGGAGACGGCAAAAAGCUGGAAAGACAAAGAGCAGCUGAAUGGUCCUGUGUCUCCACGUUUACCAAGCGAAUUGGAACAAUAUGAUGAAAAGUCUGUUUCAGUGGGGGACAAAGUGGACACAUUUCAAAGCCAUCAAUGAUGCUGAGGGACGAAGGUCGGAGUCGGUCGGUGAUCAGUGGCUCGUCGGAAGAUGGUGGGGACACACUUGAGGUAAUUUGGUCAUCGGUAUUAAGCAGGUCACCUGCCCUUGAACAGCAAUAAAUGGUAAAGGCUAGGCAGGGCAUAUAUUUAGGAGUUUUCAGUAUAAGAAGGGUUAAAUUUUACUUAGUCAGAAAUCUCCCUAGUCAGUGAGGUGGGCAGAGGCACUAGAUAGGAUUGUGGGAGAAAUUAGAAAUAUUUUUGCCAUUAUGGGAGUAUGAGGUCAUGCAGUCCUCAGAUAGAAUUCUACUUCAAAAUUUAUAUUAAACGUCGGUAGGGGUUGAAAGAGAGAGGUCAGAAAGGAGCAGACCUCCUACUUGAUUUCACCUACCAUUGGUUAAUGAGUCUGUUAGUAGUUUGCUAGCAAAUGCCUCACUAAGCCUCCUACGCUGCACAUGUAAAUAUCGAUGGACCAAGACCAUCUACUGUAUUUGGGCACUAGGGGGUAAUAUACAAAGGGGGGCAUUGAUCGAUGAAUUAAUCUGGUCUGACGUGGAAGAGGGGGACUUGAUUUGCGGAUCUGUCAGAUGUAAUAUUGGAAAUUAGGAAAAAGCAAUGAAGGAUACCUGUAGACUGGUAGAGGAAUCUUGGGAAAAUUAUGCGCAGUGACGGGGGUGUAAAGACCGAAAUACGAGCAAGCCGUUUCUGGUACAUUUGGGGAGUAAUAAUUAGAAAUCAGUUGGUAACAGAGCUAUUUUUAAAUCGUCAAUCUAGCAGGAAUAUCGCGGUACUGAGGAGGAAGACCACGUGUAGUGAUUGUACUAGUUAGUUCAAACCGAUCAACUUUCAAAUACUAGUUACGUGAUGGUAGGGGAGGAGGCGGUUUUUGCCCAAACAGGAACGAGGGAAGGUGGAUAUUAAUUGCGUUUAAAAAAAAAAAAAAAAAAAAAAAAAAAAAAAAAAAAAGCCUCAGGAGGCUGCACAAGUUUCAUAGCUUGCAAAUUACAAAUUUUGAUCCGCGACUUGGGUAAGCACGCAAAUGCUUCCAAAUGGGUUGGUUGGGAAUUACGCGUCAACCAAUAUAUAUUCUGUGUUCAGUUUUGUCUGUGGGGUGUGUAAGUGGAAAUGGACGGUCAGGUCAAUGUUAUUGUCUGAGAAGUCUCGCUUGUCAUGUCGUAUUAAAUGUUUAUGGUUUGUGUUAAAUGUUUACGGUUUGUGUUAAAUGUUUGUGUUGUGUUAAUUAAAAGCAGAAAUGGAGCACCAAUGGAGUGAUUGUGGGAAUGUGAUCACAUACAAGAGCCAGUCUCACCCAUAUCAAACAUAGCAUCCCAAGAUGUUGGGAGCCGGAGGUCAAAUUAAGUACUCUUGGGCCACGACCCUAUUUUAGGAAUUCGAACUUUUAGUUCUGGCAUGAUUGAAGCACCACUGGGUCAAAUUCACUCAUGUGGAGAAGGCUUCUAUGCAAUUUGUGGGGUCAUCUGAGACUAACAUGUUUAUGACGACUGAGGACUUUGUGACUGACAAGUGGGUACGGUCUACACAGACUGUUGACUAACUGACCUUUGUGACGGUGUACAUAAGGACACGGGGAAGAGUCUGAUUUGUGGACAUAACUUUAUUUUUCAGGACGCCCAGGAGGAUGCAGUGUGACAGUGUUGAGUUAUUGCAGGUUAUGGGAGUGCUGACUUAAUGCCGAUUCUUAUGUGAUUCUUGGUCUAUUGACAUUGCCACUGUUGGGAAACGUGUUAACAAUGAAUUAUCAGUGUUAACAUAUGAUUUGUUAUUUAUGGAAAUUAUAUCAAUGUUUGGUGACCAUUGCCGACUUGUCCCUUCUCUGGGGUAUGAAUGCAGGAAUUAUGGAGUCCACCCCCUUGGCAGGAGCAUCUUUUGCAGAGCCUCUAGGAACUUUGCUGUGCUGACUCCCACCAGUAACAUCUACUGCUGGCGGACCUGAGACAGCUGUCGAAGAAGGGUGCCCGGGUAAAGUGGACACAUUGAUUCGUAAUGUAUCCGAACGGGAGGUUAGUAUUCCAAUUCUGAACUUUGAUUCAACACUGUACUGUUAUUGGAGGUUGCUAGUUUAUGCAGGUUCAUCACAGGAAGUUGGAUGGAGGAGAGCUUAGGAAGAUAUGGUGCAUGCAUGACUGGUGGGAUACAGAGUAUGACCAAUAUCGGAAUGUCUAAUGCAAUACUGUCGAGGGAGUUCACAUGAUAUGGUAGUAAGUACCUUAGCGUGACACUGACGGUGAGUAUGAUAUGAUUGAGGGGUAAUGAGUAAUACGAAACAUCUAUUGACACCCCUCCAGAGGUUAUGAUUCGUCAAGUGGCAGAUAUAUGGGUUUUGGCAUGAACAAUAAAUAUAGAGUAACUAUGGUAUAAUGAGAUAUUAGAGUCUGGGGGCUAAUAUGGACUUGAUGACGCAAUCGGUUACGAACUAGGGUCUCUACGAGGUACGGAACUAAAAGGGGAGUGAUGUGAAAAUUAACGCAAAUUUAAAUUACAGGACGACUGAGGGGUAAGAUAUUGCAAGCCGCUGCGGGUGGUUAGGGGUGCGUGCCAAGAAUCCACCGAAUUGGGGAGGAAUCAGGAGGGUCUCAUAGGGGCACCCCCAUCCCUUUUUGGGUCAGUUAAGUCAGGAGGCGCAUGGGCUAGCCCAUGACGCAAGGGGGGUGUAAAGCGGAAAAUUAGGAAAGAAUAGGGGUUUGGGCACCUGGUAAAUAAAUUGUAGAAAUUAUCAUAGUUUAGCUUAGCUUGCAUUAAUAUUAUGGACAAUUUUGAUGGAAAGAAUUGCGCAACAAAGAAGUCUGCAGAAGAAUAAACCUAGGGUAAUACUAGUCAAAGGGACGACGGAGUCUUGUACGUACUUAAAUUCCGUGUUUCCGUGGGUUUGUAAAAACGUUAUUAGUAUCGUGUGAAUGUGUAGAAGUGUGAAUGUAUAAGACAGGAUUGCAAAUUACAACUGGGUUUGGAAGCAGGUGCAAGAAUCCACCGUCCCGUGGGGGUAAAAGUUUGAAGGUUACCAAGCCCCAGACAUUCAUUGUCACCCUGUCAUUUUGAAUAGUCAGUAUUAAGGUCACUCUCGGUGCAAAUAAAUUGACUUCCAAAUUCACAAAAUAAGGAAAAAUAACAGUAAACCGGAUUCAAGAGAACGCUUCACGUGUAAAGACUGGAAAUAUGUUCAACUCCAAACCCCUUACAAAAUGAAACAUUUAAACACAUGGAUAACCAAAUACGAUGUCGCGGGCCAGCUAAAUUUGAAAAAUUGGUUCAACGUCGAGACGAAAUAAAAGUCGACAUAAAAAUAAUAGAAAAAUGGAUAAAAGAGGGAUAUGAUGACAUAGUUGUCUGGCUAAACAUGGUGUCUAAAAUAGAAAAAGGAAGUAAAGAAACGAAGGACUUAGAAAAUGGACGGAAAAGGCCUUCAGGGACAUUAAACAACAUUUGGUGUCCAGGAAAGUGCUGGCCCUUCCAAAGUAUGAUAAAACAUUCAUUCAAAUGGUAGAGUGGAAAAGCUAUUACAAGACCUCCGUACUUACGCAACAAUGAAAUGAUAAACUAAGACCAAGAGCUUAUUUUUUGACUAAAAUAGACAGAGUGAUGUGAUAAUGGGCGGCAUGGUGGCCGACUGGUUAGAGCGUCAGCCUCACAGUUCUGAGGACCGGGGUUCAAUCCCCGGCCCCGCCUGUGUGGAGUUUGCAUGUUCUCCCCGUGCCUCCGUGGCUUUUCUCCGGGCACUCCGGUUUCUUCCCACAUCCCAAAAACAUGCAUUAAUUGGAGACUCUAAAUUGCCCGUAGGUGUGACUGUGAGUGCGACUGGUUGUUUGUUUGUAUGUGCCCUGCGAUUGGCUUGCAACCAGUUCAGGAUGUACCCCGCCUCCUGCCCGAUGACAGCUGGGAUAGACUCCAGCACGCCCGCGACCCGCGUGAGGAGAAGUGACUCAGAAGAUGAACGGAUGGAUGGACUUGGUGGAGGAAGUUAGGUCAUUUUCUUGGCUCAGAUUCCUUCAUGCAAGGGUGUUACAAAACAUAUUAAUAUCCAGCGAUGGUAAGCGUCGGAGUCAUGUCCGCAGGGGUUUGGAGACAUACAGCGAUGCAAGGGGGGUAUUAUCACUUACGGAUUAAGCAACGGCCACUACCAUGCCUGCCUCAGAUGUGUAGAACUGACUGCCCUCCAUAUAUUGUACUGUUAGAUAUCCAUUUGAAAAUGGGUUGGAUUAAGUUUGAUUUUGUUGCAAAAUACUGGCAGAUGUUUUUGUUCUUCCAGGGGUGGUCUGGAGCUGUUCAGGGUCCCGUGUGUAUAAACCUGAACUCUGGGACUAAUUCAUGGUGGACAGCGGCCCGGGGCUGCAGGGUUUACAGUUUCUUCAUCAAUGACACGAGCUGUAGACCAUAUGGAGGGAGACCACCUUUAAGAUUUUUAUUUUUAUUUCGUGUGUAUUUUGAUAUGUGUGCUUCCACAGUUCUUUUUUGUGUUUUACGCUGUUUUUUGUUCAUUUAUUUCAAUGUUUGUAUUAUUCUGUUGUGUAUGGUUUGCCAUCCGAGUCAAGGCCCCUUUGGGUGUUUUGAUGUACGGGGCUCUGAAGGACACGUGACACGACUCUCGCUCUUUUCCUCGUCUCGUUUUGAGAAAGGUUUUUCGACCGAGAGCCGCGAAACCUUGACGCUUCCACGAGGCUGCGCGUACAAAUUGAUAAAUUUGGGAUUGGCUCCGUUUCGAUAUCGGGGAGGAGAUUUGGUUUGUUUGGCUGUUUGGUACGCACGUGUGACCUCGGGGGGCGAAGAGGAGACGCAGGGAGUGAUUCGGCCUUAUUAGAAUAAUUAUUUUUCCUAGUAAAUGGUUAACCAUAAGUAAAUGCCUUGGAGCAUGAUAGAUUUUCUUGACCAAGUAGAUUUGUUCAAAUUGUAGAUAAUUAGUUAACUUUUUGGGCUAACGCUGGUUUGUUGGUUCUGGCCAGGUGUCAUUUGGUAACUCUAGGUUUGUAAUGAGUUUGGGGAUCUCAUUAAAGGGGGGUUAUGUAGUAUAUUUUCAUAGUAACACAAUCAGAGUUCCUUCGGGAAGGACAAAUGUUUGGACCAACUGUCUUUUCUUUGUACUUCUACAUCAAAGAACAUCCUUUAACCAGUUAUAUGUUGAUUGGGGGGUCUUGCAUCCCCCUGACAGAAACCUGUCGGGGGUUUACAACCGGUCCUGGUCUUCAAAGAGGACUGUUUGGCAUUAUCGUAACAAAGGACCCCUGGGGGUAAGAUUGACCAGGCUGAGAGACGACAGCAGACGAGUAGUGGUAUUUCACACACCCAAAGAGACACCAGCUGGCAGGUACGAUUCCAAAUAUGGUCAUGAGGAGCAGCAUCUUUCCGGAUGCAACGAGGGAGGGGGCUAAGUCCACGCCCAGAGAAUUAGAACCUUGAUAAACUGAGAUCCCAGGGUUUUCGGGGGCUUUUUCGUCGUUCUGACAAUGCAGCAGCUGCUAUGACACUAAGGCCUGUUCAAUAAAUCGAAUUAGCCCAAA